CCUACGGGAGGCAGCAGUGAGGAAUAUUGGUCAAUGGGCGGGAGCCUGAACCAGCCAAGUCGCGUGAGGGAAGACGGUCCUAUGGAUUGUAAACCUCUUUAGGCGGGGAGCAAUGCCGGGCACGCGUGCCCGGAGGGAGAGUCCCCGCAGAAUAAGCAUCGGCUAACUCCGUGCCAGCAGCCGCGGUAAUACGGAGGAUGCGAGCGUUAUCCGGAUUGAUUGGGUUUAAAGGGUGCGUAGGCGGAUUUUUAAGUCAGCGGUAAAAUGUCCGGGCUCAACCCGGGCCGGCCGUUGAAACUGGGGAUCUUGAGUGGGCGAGAAGUAUGCGGAAUGCGUGGUGUAGCGGUGAAAUGCAUAGAUAUCACGCAGAACUCCGAUUGCGAAGGCAGCAUACCGGCGCCCGACUGACGCUGAGGCACGAAAGCGUGGGGAUCGAACAGGAUUAGAUACCCCAGUAGUC
rnacentral:rRNA from 1 species